CAGGCACCUGAGUCGGCGCCUAAGUCUGUAGGUGGGGCGGCGGGGGCCUCGUCAGUCGCCAUGUUGAGAGCGCCAUGUCGCGGACUCGCUUGACCUUCUCAAGGUGGCGGCAUAAAGGGCGGAUAAAUCGAGGUGCCCCCUCCGUGCCGGAGAGUGGCAGAAAGGUCCUGCUGCUUGCCCUGUCCUCGGUGGGCAGAGAGCUCUGACCUCCGCCGGAUGGGCUGCCAAUUCUGAAGCGCUCACCAGAGAUCUGCCUGGGAGGAGAAGCAGAGCCAAGCACUGAGAACUGACAAGUGAGCUCCGCCUUGACCCCUCUGGCUCAAAGACAGCACCUGGAUACGGAGGGAGGGAGGGAAAUCCUCUCUUCACAUGUGCCAGUUCAUCUGUGAAACUCAUCCCGGCAGGACAGCGUGAAGACUGAAAGUGUAAGAAGAUGUGGGGUGCAGUGGAGAAUGUGGCAGGAGCACCCAACACACAAGUGCACGAGUUUUGCUUUUUGCUUGGAUUGAAACUCAGAAGUUGUAAGGAAUUUGGGAAUGAGAUGGGAUGUUUCAGAAGAAGAGGAAGGAGGAGAAGAAGCAGAAAAAAGUAUUGUUACAGUCCUGGCAAAAUCUUUUUGUUCUAGCUAAUAAAAGAAGUUUUAAUGAAAAGGCAAAAAAUGUGU